CAUUACCCUGCCUCAGGAAAUUAUUACUAUAUAUUUUACAGCAGCUACAGUAGGUUGGGGAUCAGGAUUAGAACAUACUAACUACCGUGACAUUUAGCAGAACUCCUGUGCAUACAGUUAACCCUCACAGGGAUGGAAUGGAGCAAAUACAUGCUAGGAUGCACAUUCGGUUUAUAUUUUCACAGUUGAAAGAAAACAUAGGCGUCGACAAUUCUUUUUUAAUGGCAGUAGAUGUUGAGAUUCAAACAGUUAAAGCUUUGUAACCAUUCAAAUACAAAUUGUCAAAAUUCCAUGUCAAAAUAUGCAUAAUACAGACUAUAACAUGUACUCUGGAAGAAGCCUAUGAUUUCUGAUUGAGUUACAUCAUCUCGUCUUGAAAGACAUCCAGUCUUGAUAUAAAAAACCUCACCACAUCCCAAGUAACGCCUGAACCUGCACUGCUGUGACCAAGGUGACUCCAGGCAAUGCACAGUGAAUAAAAGGACUGAGACCCG